UGCUCGCAUGCUUUCUCUUUUCCUGGUCCAGGUGUAGCCGAUACUGAGACCUAGCUGAAGCUGCAGCUGCCAAAAGCUCCUUAGUCAGAGAAAAGCCCCUCUCAACCGUUGCUUGGCCAUGGUAGAGAAGCAGAAGUUUCCUGCAGAAUGCCCAGAGUUCAGGGUAGGAUUGAUGGAGGAGUCCAUGCAAGAAAACGUCCAGUCUUGUACGCAUGGGUUGGAAAGAGGAGAAUGACUCAUGUUUUGCCUCCAGAGACAAGAAAUUUCCAAAUUGUUGGACAAUCACAUCACCUGUUGCAAAACAGAUUAACAAAAAAUAAUAUAUAAAUAUUUUAAAUCAAUGCAAUGAAAAAGUUUAGACAGACAAACCAAAAAAUAAUUUACAUUCUGACUUCUAAAUCGUGAGUACCAGCAGAGGCGCCUCCCGACAGCUGGUUAUCAUGCAGAAACCUCUGAACAACUCCUUUCAUUCUUUCAUAGCACAAGUCGGGGUCUGAGAACAUGCUCGUUGGGUCCAAACAUGCCAUCUGCCUCACAAUGGUGUACUUCAGUGGGCUCUUGUCUUGCAUUUUCUUGACAAUAUUGGUCAAACAGUCCAUGCAGUCCUUUCUAAAUGCCAACACACUGAGCUCACCUACGCUGCUCUUGGGGCUACUCUGGAGUUCCUAACAGGAAGAGGGGAGGAGGGCCUGUGAGACUGACUAAAAGUUUUAUGCAAAAAUAAAGUUUUGAUUUCCUGUACCUUAA